rnacentral:rRNA from 1 species
UACAGAGGGUGCUAGCGUUGUUCGGAAUCAUUGGGCGUAAAGGGCGUGUAGGCGGUUUGUUAAGUCAUGUGUGAAAUCCCUCGGCUCAACCGGGGAAGGACGCAUGAAACUGGCAGCUAGAGUACCAAAGAGGGGGGGUGGAAUUCCCGGUGUAGCGGUGAAAUGCGUAGAUAAUCGGGAGGAACACCUGUGGCGAAGGCGGCCCCCUGGUGGAUACGUGACGCUGAUACGCGAAAGCGUGGGAGCAACAGGGAUAGAUACCCAGAGUCCGAGAACCAAGAUCUCCUCGAGUACCCG